AACCACUUCAUUCAUAUUUUGCUAAUUUAUUUGAUAUAACAUAGGAAAAAUUUUAAGUAUACCGAAAAUACCGGUGUUCUAAUUGUUUUAACCGUUGAUUUUAAUUAAUAUAUAUUAUAUAUAUUUUUUAUAAUUUAAAUUGA